GGGGUUCUAUCUCAGUGGUAGAUAACUUGUCUAGCAUGUGAGAGGCACUGGGUUCAAUCCCCAGCAAUUCAA
rnacentral:tRNA from 1 species